AGAGUUUGAUCAUGGCUCAGGACGAACGCUGGCGGCGUGCUUUACACAUGCAAGUCGAGCGAGGCCAGGUAGCAAUACCUGAGUCGAGCGGCGAACGGGUGAGUAACACGUGGAUAACCUACCCUGAGGUGGGGAACAACCAGGGGAAACUCUGGCUGAUACCGCAUGAUACCGAGAGGUCAAAGGGGGCUCGCAAGGGCUCUCGCCACAGGAGGGGUCCGCGUCCGAUUAGCUAGUUGGUAGGGUAAUGGCCUACCAAGGCGACGAUCGGUAGCCGGCCUGAGAGGGUGAUCGGCCACACUGGAACUGAGACACGGUCCAGACUCCUACGGGAGGCAGCAGUGGGGAAUUUUGCGCAAUGGGCUAACGCCUGACGCAGCAACGCCGCGUGGAGGAUGAAGGUCUUUGGAUUGUAAACUCCUGUCAGCAGGGAAAAAGCGACUUAGCCUCAUACGCUAGGGAGUUGAUUGUACCUGCAGAGGAAGCCCCGGCUAACUCUGUGCCAGCAGCCGCGGUAAUAC
rnacentral:rRNA from 1 species